GAGGUCUCUACUAUGGCCGCCGAAAUUUCCAGACGAAAGAAAAAUGAAAAAAAACUUAUGAGCGUUUACAACGUCUUUCAUCACUCCGCAGCAUUCAAUCCCAGUCAUUACGUUCAUCCCACUCCUCAGCGUUCAAUCCGAAUCAUUGGGUUCCCAGAGUAACUUACUGGAGCUCUGAGUAUAAAUACCCCCUCAUCCAGAGAUGGAGAUUGCAGCUUCAACUAGAACCAGAAGAAUACUCUGUUCAACUUUCCGGUUAUUACAACGGCGAAUCCCCAGAUCCUUCUUGCCAAAUUGAGAGCUGGGCGGCCGUUGGAGACAACUCUGGGCGGAUCCGGCGUGGCGUGUCAACAUGCGAAUCUGAUACUCAUGAUUGAGAAGAUGAUAAAGAAACCACAGUUGGUGGGUCUCAACGCGAGAGACGAUCUUCUCAAACAGAAGCCUGUUGGUUGCGAUUAGGACAAGUUGAACAUGCAUUAUCUGAAGCUAAAGUCUGCAGAGAACUGAACCUGAUUGGCCUAAAGAAUUUUUCCGAGCAGGUGCUGCUCUUGGUUUGCUACAGCGAUUUGAUGAGGCAGCCAAUGCUUUUUACAAGAGAGUAAAUCAAGUAGAUCAUUGAUGCUUUCAGACCAGUUGUGUAGAUGCUCGACGGAAGUUUGACGCCAAGGAUAAAAUUAAGGCCAAACCAUAGCUUCUUCUAAAGAAGCUUUGUUUAGUAUAUGUAUGAAGUUUUGAUUUUGCUUCUUACCUUGGUCUCUCCCCUAUGCAGUUGUUGCCUAUUUUACAUAUAUGUACUAAAAACUUCAGGUCUAGAGCUUUUUUGUGCUCUGAUUUUUUCAUUGUGUUUGGAUUUACAGCUUUGAUUUUUAAAAAUCGUAAACAAUAAUUUUAUUUGUUUUA